UACGUAGGGGGCAAGCGUUGUCCGGAUUUAUUGGGCGUAAAGAGCGUGUAGGCGGUUUGGUAGGUCCGCUGUGAAAACUCGAGGCUCAACCUCGAGACGCCGGUGGAAACCAUCAGACUAGAGUCCGGAAGAGGAGAGCGGAAUUCCUGGUGUAGCGGUGAAAUGCGCAGAUAUCAGGAAGAACACCCGUGGCGAAGGCGGCUCUCUGGGACGGUACUGACGCUGAGACGCGAAAGCGUGGGGAGCAAACAGG
rnacentral:rRNA from 1 species